CAUGCAGUCGAGCGGAUGAAGAGAGCUUGUCUUCUGAUUCAGCGGCGGACGGGUGAGUAAUGCCUAGGAAUCUGCCUGAUAGUGGGGGACAACGUUUCGAAAGGACGCUAAUACCGCAUACGUCCUACGGGAGAAAGCAGGGGACCUUCGGGCCUUGGCUAUCAGAUGAGCCUAGGUCGGAUUAGCUAGUUGGUGAGGUAACGGCUCACCAAGGCGACGAUCCGUAACUGGUCUGAGAGGAUGAUCAGUCACACUGGAACUGAGACACGGUCCAGACUCCUACGGGAGGCAGCAGUGGGGAAUAUUGGACAAUGGGCGAAAGCCUGAUCCAGCCAUGCCGCGUGUGUGAGGAAGGUCUUCGGAUUGUAAAGCACUUUAAGUUGGGAGGAAGGCCAUUAACCUAAUACGUUAGGGUUUUGACGUUACCGACAGAAUAAGCCCCGGCUAACUUCGUGCCAGCGGCGGCGGUAAUACGAAGGGUGCAAGCGUUAAUCGGAAUUACUGGGCGUAAAGCGCGCGUAGGGGGUUUGUUAAGUUGAAUGUGAAAGCCCGGCUCAACCUGGGAACUGCAUCCAAA
rnacentral:rRNA from 2 species